GACGAACGCUGGCGGCGUGCCUAACACAUGCAAGUCGAACGAGGUCCAUCCUUCGGGAGAAGACCUAGUGGCGAACGGGUGAGUAACACGUGAAGAACCUGCCCCGAAGACCGGGAUAACCCUCCGAAAGGAGAGCUAAUACCGGAUACCCCCACCGAACCGCAUGGUUUGGUGAGGAAAUGGAUUCCGCUUCGGGAGGGCUUCGCGGCCUAUCAGCUAGUUGGUGGGGUAACGGCCACCAAGGCAUCGACGGGUAGCUGGUCUGAGAGGACGAUCAGCCACACUGGGACUGAGACACGGCCCAGACUCCUACGGGAGGCAGCAGUGGGGAAUCUUGCGCAAUGGGCGAAAGCCUGACGCAGCAACGCCGCGUGGGGGAUGAAGGCUCUCGGGUUGUAAACCCCUUUCAGCAGGGACGAAUCAAGACGGUACCUGCAGAAGAAGCCCCGGCUAACUACGUGCCAGCAGCCGCGGUAAU
rnacentral:rRNA from 1 species